rnacentral:rRNA from 1 species
ACUCCCAAACCCCUGUGAACAUACCUUAAUGUUGCCUCGGCGGAUCAGCCCGCGCCCCGUAAAACGGGACGGCCCGCCAGAGGACCCAAACUCUAAUGUUUCUUAUUGUAACUUCUGAGUAAAACAAACAAAUAAAUCAAAACUUUCAACAACGGAUCUCUUGGUUCUGGCAUCGAUGAAGAACGCAGCAAAAUGCGAUAAGUAAUGUGAAUUGCAGAAUUCAGUGAAUCAUCGAAUCUUUGAACGCACAUUGCGCCCGCUGGUAUUCCGGCGGGCAUGCCUGUUCGAGCGUCAUUUCAACCCUCAAGCCCCCGGGUUUGGUGUUGGGGAUCGGCUCUGCCCUUCUGGGCGGUGCCGCCCCCGAAAUACAUUGGCGGUCUCGCUGCAGCCUCCAUUGCGUAGUAGCUAACACCUCGCAACUGGAACGCGGCGCGGCCAUGCCGUAAAACCCCAACUUCUGAAUGUUGACCUCGGAUCAGGUAGGAAUACCCGCUGAACUUAAGCAUAUCAAUAAGCGGAGGAAAAGAAACCAACAGGGAUUGCCCUAGUAACGGCGAGUGAAGCGGCAACAGCUCAAAUUUGAAAUCUGGCUUUCGGGCCCGAGUUGUAAUUUGUAGAGGAUACUUUUGAUGCGGUGCCUUCCGAGUUCCCUGGAACGGGACGCCAUAGAGGGUGAGAGCCCCGUCUGGUUGGAUGCCAAAUCUCUGUAAAGUUCCUUCGACGAGUCGAGUAGUUUGGGAAUGCUGCUCUAAAUGGGAGGUAUAUGUCUUCUAAAGCUAAAUAUUGGCCAGAGACCGAUAGCGCACAAGUAGAGUGAUCGAAAGAUGAAAAGCACUUUGAAAAGAGAGUUAAAAAGUACGUGAAAUUGUUGAAAGGGAAGCGUUUAUGACCAGACUUGGACUUGGUUAAUCAUCUGGGGUUCUCCCCAGUGCACUUUUCCAGUUCAGGCCAGCAUCAGUUUUCGCCGGGGGAUAAAGGCUUCGGGAAUGUAGCUCUCUUCGGGGAGUGUUAUAGCCCGUUGUGUAAUACCCUGGCGGAGACU